rnacentral:rRNA from 1 species
AACGAACGCUGGCGGCAUGCCUAACACAUGCAAGUCGAACGAGACCUUCGGGUCUAGUGGCGCACGGGUGCGUAACGCGUGGGGACCUGCCCUUAGGUUCGGAAUAACUCCCCGAAAGGGGUGCUAAUACCGGAGAAUGUCUUCGGACCAAAGAUUUAUCGCCUUUGGAUGGGCCCGCGUUGGAUUAGCUAGUUGGUAGGGUAAAAGCCUACCAAGGCGACGAUCCAUAGCUGGGCUGAGAGGAUGAUCAGCCACACCGGGACUGAGACACGGCCCAGACUCCUACGGGAGGCAGCAGUGGGGAAUAUUGGAAAAUGGGCGAAAGCCUGAUCCAGCAAUGCCGCGUGAGUGAUGAAGGCCUUAGGGUUGUAAAGCUCUUUUACCCGGGAUGAUAAUGACAGUACCGGGAGAAUAAGCUCCGGCUAACUCCGUG